UACGUAGGGUGCGAGCGUUAAUCGGAAUUACUGGGCGUAAAGCGUGCGCAGGCGGCUUUGCAAGACAGAUGUGAAAUCCCCGGGCUCAACCUGGGAACUGCAUUUGUGACUGCAUGGCUAGAGUGCGGCAGAGGGGGAUGGAAUUCCGCGUGUAGCAGUGAAAUGCGUAGAUAUGCGGAGGAACACCGAUGGCGAAGGCAAUCCCCUGGGCCUGCACUGACGCUCAUGCACAAAAGCGUGGGGAGCAAACAGG
rnacentral:rRNA from 1 species